CCAUUGGUUUCACCAACCUCGCUUUACACACUGCAAUUUGAUAUCCAGCUCCUCCAGAGUCUCAAGGCUACCUGCUGGUUCAUGCAAAUGGUGGACUUAAUCAGAUGAGGGCAGGGAUAUAUUUGAAGUAUCGAUGAG